CCUACGGGAGGCAGCAGUGGGGAAUAUUGGACAAUGGGGGCAACCCUGAUCCAGCCAUGCCGCGUGUGUGAAGAAGGCCCUCGGGUUGUAAAGCACUUUCAGUGAGGAAGAACGCCUGGUGGUUAAUACCCAUCAGGAAAGACAUCACUCACAGAAGAAGCACCGGCUAACUCCGUGCCAGCAGCCGCGGUAAUACGGAGGGUGCGAGCGUUAAUCGGAAUUACUGGGCGUAAAGCGCGCGUAGGUGGCUUGAUAAGCCGGUUGUGAAAGCCCCGGGCUCAACCUGGGAACGGCAUCCGGAACUGUCGAGCUAGAGUGCAGGAGAGGAAGGUAGAAUUCCCGGUGUAGCGGUGAAAUGCGUAGAGAUCGGGAGGAAUACCAGUGGCGAAGGCGGCCUUCUGGACUGACACUGACACUGAGGUGCGAAAGCGUGGGUAGCAAACAGGAUUAGAUACCCGUGUAGUC
rnacentral:rRNA from 1 species